AUUGAACGCUGGCGGCAUGCCUUACACAUGCAAGUCGAACGGUAACAGGUCUUCGGAUGCUGACGAGUGGCGAACGGGUGAGUAAUACAUCGGAACGUGCCCGAUCGUGGGGGAUAACGAAGCGAAAGCUUUGCUAAUACCGCAUACGAUCCACGGAUGAAAGCAGGGGACCGCAAGGCCUUGCGCGAACGGAGCGGCCGAUGGCAGAUUAGGUAGUUGGUGGGAUAAAAGCUUACCAAGCCGACGAUCUGUAGCUGGUCUGAGAGGACGACCAGCCACACUGGGACGGAGACACGGCCCAGACUCCUACGGGAGGCAGCAGUGGGGAAUUUUGGACAAUGGGCGAAAGCCUGAUCCAGCCAUGCCGCGUGCAGGAUGAAGGCCUUCGGGUUGUAAACUGCUUUUGUACGGAACGAAAAGCCCCGGGUUAAUACCCUGGGGUCAUGACGGUACCGUAAGAAUAAGCACCGGCUAACUACGUGCCAGCCGCCGCCGUAA
rnacentral:rRNA from 1 species